GUGGUUAGGGCGCAGGAAGAGCUCGGGGUGUAGGGAGGAGGGGUAGUUAGGGGGCAGGAUGAGGUCGGUACGGAGCGGCGGUGGAGAGGAAGGGGUAAGUAGGAGAGCUAUGCGACGGCGGCGGUAUAGAGAGGAGGGGUGUGUAGGAGAGAGGAGCAGUGUAGACCGGCCUCCUCUUGUAACGCCGCCGUAGAGGACCGCUACCGUCACUCCCGCCCACUCCGACGUUCCGCUGCUCGGUUCCGCCGCCUCCUAGGCCAAGCAUACGACAACAACAACGGCUACCUGCCUACUCCGCGAGAGUCCAGUGAGGGGUGCCCGGAGGAAGCAGAGGGUUCAGAGUUGGUACCGGCCGAGGUUGGGGAGGAGACAACAACACGAGGACAUCCUCUUCUUCUUCUUCUCAUCCGUACUAGAGACAUAUGUAGGUCACAUAAACCAACCUAAUGAAAGCAAGAGACUCUUUAAACCGUAACUUUUUAUUUUCUUUAUUCUCUGGGUGCCAGACAUGAAUUCCAGAUCCUAGACGAUCCAACCACCUAGACGCUCGAACGCCAAGGACAACAACUAGUUGGCGACGAAGCCACCUCCAAAUUAGUUGGUUCACUCACGUCAUCGUUUGGUCGACACGCCGAAUAUCCUCGUGAACGCGGUAGAAACAUUACCAACGAAAUAGAUCCAGAGGUGUCCGAACGGCAGUCUUCUGUAAAAUUACACUCCUUUUGUGUUUGUGGGAACAGUGAUGACCUCUCCUACCGGAUUUUAAGACCCUAAAUUCACUUAAACGUGGAACCCACCCCACUGCUCCAACGACGCCGAUCCGACGGCUAACCGGUUCGUUUGGGAUGACACAGAUGUGGAGACGUACCCAUGAACGGCGAAAACAUUUGGAGUGACAGUAUUGACCUUACUUAACGUUUAUUUUAACAUUCAAAGGAGCGCAUAAGAGUGAAGUAAACUUCGUGAAAGGUGUAGACUAUCGGGUCCACCCUAUAUUUACCUUGAAAGUGAAUCUAUCAACGUAAGAUUUUAUGCAGAUAUAUGUAGGUAUACAUCAGGUUUAUCAUUAGAGAUUUUUGUGAAUAUAAAUCCUUGCCUCCCUCAUUAAGAGACUGUUCAAGGAUAACUAAUGUACAUGCAUACCAAAUAAAAGAUGUCAACCUUUUCCAGGAUUUUAUAGCAGCUGUACCAAAUACAUACCAGUCGUUUCCGGAAUUCGUACAGAAGACGUUCAAAAACAAUCAAUAGUGAAGUAUCGAACCAGUUUGAAAAACCGGCCACUGUUCAAUAUCCGUUUCUUUGUAUAUUUCUUGAUUAAUAACACCACCUAGAACGUAAAGACUAAUAGGUAAUAGGUAAUGAAGAUUUUGUCGUCGUCCACCCACUUACUAACCGAUGGUUGUCAAGGUAUAUGAAGUAGUCGAAACACUAUCAUUCGUAUCAUUGUACAAGUUUAUAUACAGGGUCCGCUUGGUCGACGAAUUCAUGGUAAGAAUAUAAAUCGAAGCACGAAUAUUAAGAAAACACGGUAGAUACUACUUGAGGUGUGUCGGAAUACAAAUCUACACCGUACGAGGUACGAUACUUGUAACAUUAGGAGAUAGUAAUCGAAAGAAAAGAAUAUGAUGUAUACAUAUUACUAGUAGUUAUAUAUGGGUGUAUUAUGAACCAAUAUCAAUCGUAGAACGCGGUACCCGCGUUGCCCAGUAGAUCUGUGUUGUUUUCGCGGUUUGGUAGUUGGAUCUGUUGUUAUAAUUACAAGCAUCUGACGCUUUCUAGUAGGUCUUGUGGUGGUGUAGAUUAGUGAUCAUACAGACAGUGUACUAUCUUUGUAAACGAUGUCUGCCGUUUUCCUACCAUUAGGAAACGUUAAUGAAACAAAACAAAGUAUGUUACUGUAGCAUAUUUUACUAUAUGAUUGAUUGGAAAUGAAAGUAAAAGUCAUAAAACCCCAAGGGAAAAGAUUCUCGAGGGAAAAGAGUGUGUACCUACGACUGGUACCACUUGACGGUUAGUGAUGACCUCUGCCUUGAUGGCGACAGUGUCGGACGAAAUAGUACCCACAACUGUUUUCCCGGUGGUAGUGAUCUCCGACCUCACUGAAGAAAGCAGUCCGCGUGUACUUCUUUCCAGUUCGUAUACGAAAGCUGAAAUUUACGUGAAGGUUCUCUGACGCGGACUAGCAGAUGAGUUAUAUUUGUUCAACGUUCUCAGGGAACAAUAUAUUGGAUCGUAAUCAUCUCUACAGAUGAUUCUGAAGAUACAAAUAGUAAACAGAUAACGUACAAGAGACGAGUAACGUCCAUACGUUCGAGAAAACUUUGAGAACCACAUUUCUUUUUAUAACAACAAACGGGAUAGUUCUUAUAAUCGAGCUUAUUCAGGUCUACAUACGGUUGACUUUUCCAAUAAUACGC
rnacentral:rRNA from 1 species